GGUGUAGGCGGCUUGUUAAGUCGGAUGUGAAAUCUCCCGGCUAAACUGGGAGGGGUCAUUCGAUACUGGCAGGCUGGAGUGCAGCAGAGGAAAGCGGAAUUCCCGGUGUAGUGGUGAAAUGCGUAGAUAUCGGGAGGAACACUAGUGGCGAAGGCGGCUUUCUGGGCUGUUACUGACGCUGAGGUCCGAAGGCGUGGGGAGCAAACAGGAUCAGAUACCCUGGUAGUCCACGCAGUAAACUAUGGACACUAGGUAUGGGGAGUAUCGACCCUCUCCGUGCCGAAGCUAACGCUUUAAGUGUCCCGCCUGGGGAGUACGGUCGCAAGACUAAA
rnacentral:rRNA from 1 species